rnacentral:tRNA from 1 species
GGGCGGUUAGCUCAGUCGGAAGAGUGCCACGUUCACAUCGUGGAAGUCAUGGGAUCGAGGCCCAUAUCGCCCA